rnacentral:sRNA from 1 species
UAAGAUACGCCUUAGCUUUCUUAUUGUGG